rnacentral:tRNA from 1 species
GGUGGCUCAGUGGUAUAGUGCUUGCCUCGAAUGCAUGAGGCCCUGGGUUCGAUUCCUAAGCACCA